CACCGCGGUUAUACGAGAGACUCAGGUUGACAGCCAUCGGCGUAAAGAGUGGUUAGGACGGACAAAAACUAAAGCCGAAUGCUCUCAAAGCUGUUAUACGCCCUCGAAGGUAAGAAGCCCUACUACGAAAGUGACUUUAUUAAAUCUGAUUCCACGAAAGCUAGGAUA
rnacentral:rRNA from 1 species